CCUUCCUCUCGCAAGCUCCCCAGACAGGCUGGUUCCCGGGGGCAGGGGAGGAAUAUAGCUCCCUGAACCGCUGGCCAAACCCGCGCCGCUAGUCCAGAGCGCGCGUCCGAGGCCUUUUCUAUCGCUACCGGCUAGACUACCCAGGAUGUCAACUUCUGUCCCUCAAGGCCACAACUGGGCCCGAAAAGUGAAGGAGGAUGCUGAUGAUGAAGACCCUCUGGAUCAGCUGAUCUCUCGCUCUGGCUGCGCCGCCUCUCACUUUGCAUUGCAGGAGUGCAUGGCGCAGCACCAGGACUGGAGGCAGUGUCAGCCUCAGGUGCAGGCCUUCAGGGACUGCAUGAGUGAGCAGCAGGCAAAGCGGCGGGAGGAAUUGCAGAAGAGAAAAGAGCAAGCCAGUGCCCAUUGCUGACACUCGCAGCCAGCUGCCCUGAGCCUGGCCCUGCGUAAACCAGCACCCACAAAGACCUUGAGAGGAAGGACUCCUAAGUAGUGGAAGUGUGGGCCCGAAUAUGUAAAACCUAGGAAUAAACUAAAAGUACCUAAACAUCAAUAAGAAAAAGCACAGAGAAGAGUAACAAAUACACUCCGAAAGCUCUAUAAUAUUUGGGCCAAAUACUAUGGGUUUGGACAUGAUUACCAAGAGCUGUUAUAUUUUAAUGAUCAUGUUUCACGCAUCCUCACCCUUCUUGUCCCACCAAUAUUUGACUGGAAAAAAAAAAAUGGGAUAAGGGCCACAUUCCUCAUGCACCUGUUGGGUCAGUGUCCCAAGUACAGAUAUGAUUACGGGGACAUUUGUCAUUUGCAAAGUAAAUUCACAAACUAAAGAUAAAUUGGUCUCCUGAUCA